rnacentral:piRNA from 1 species
UAGUUUUGGAAACCAUGAGCAGGGAGU